UUUUAAUAUGAAAAGGAGAUCCAUUGUUCACAAAGCAUAAUAUUUUUUCGGAAACUGUAUAUAUUUACGGAAUAUGGAUAUUCUUCAUGAAGCAUGAAAAGAAGGGAAGGUGUUUUUUCGCCGAAGGCUCAAAAACGGUAUGUACGUAAAGUUUCAUGCAUCGUAAAGAGUUGAAUUGUAAACAGCUUAUAUAUUACAUUCAUAAUUAUAAAAUAUUACACACAUUGUCCAGCAAAACAUUACAUUUCAAAUGUCUUCAAAAUAACAGCUAAUCUUCUCUUAAAACUACUUCGACAGCUUCGUUUAAUAGUUGAUCAACAACUUUAUCCAUAAUAACUUCGACCAUUUUCUAUUCGUCAUCCUCCUUUGCUUUGGGGUUCGCCAAUGGCUCGGCGGGCUCUGGGGGAGGAGAUAGUAAGGCUGUAAUGCAAACCAUAAAUAAGUUCGAAGUCAUAAAAUUAGAACAUAAAGUCAAAAGCUAUUAAUUAAUACCUAUUCGACUCUCAAGAUCCGCACUUUUCUCAGCGGCCUCUGCUACUUUUCUAGCAUCGUGAAUACCUUUUUCACUUUUCCUUAUAAUUUCUUGAGCCAUCUCCCGACCGCCAUUUUCCCAGAUGUCAGUGAAAAUUUUUCCACCAACCAAGCUUGCUUCGGCUGAGGGGUCUUUUAUACCAUCAAUGCAUAAGGCAACCUCGGUCUGUGCCAAGGAUUUCACAUGUUCGCAGCCUCUCCUCUCCAAGAUAGCGGCUAUUCCCCUAGCACCCGAGAAGGCGCAUAUGUCCCCACGGCCACUCAAAAUUUCUUCAAAAGCUUCGGCCUCGCCGUUGAUCCAGUCAAUUGGACCUUCGGGGUCUCCCAGUACGAAGUUGCCUUCAUUCGAAUAUGCGCCGACACUGGCGAAACUAGUCUUAAUUGUUUUCACACAUUUCAUGGAUUUUUCAUAACAUCUUUCUUUUGAAGACCGAAGUUCUGCAGUUGUUUUCUCCCAAUGAUUUUUCCAAUAAUCGCUGGCGUCUCGGUCAGCUUCGGCAAUUGUACACUUUAGUUUCGCUACAGCCAGCUGUUUCUGAAGAUUUUCAAUUUCACACUUCUAGGCUUCAGCUUGGGCCUUGGAAGCAGCUUCGUCUUCUUUUAUUUUACUAAGCAAUGAGUUUAAUAUUUUAUCUUUCUCAAGACCUUCGUUCCUUAGCUCAAUCACUUCGGAACGAAGGUUAUUCAACGCCAUGGUACAUCCCUCGUCUUCAGCGCUUUUCUGCGAUCUGAGGGCAUUGCUAAGAAUAAGGCCCUGUAAAAGGAAUAUGGUAUUAAAAAUAAGCACACAAAUUUUUAAGCAUACAGAAAGUUUAUUUUCUCACCUUUAAGCUGUUGUACGCCAAGCUGUCGGCCAAAUCAUCUUUUGACAACACUGAGAGCCCGUCUUCUAGUGUUGGGAAUCCGAAUCUUCUUGUCAUCUCCCGGCAGACAAAUAUCUCCUUGCUGUCUGGGAGACAGUAUAAGAAGUCUUCUUCUCCGCUGCCAUUGAAAAUCAACGCCCCCUUUGGAUAUUUCAAUUUUUGGGCAUAGAACUGAGCCUCUUGCUUUUCUUUUUCAGUCAACUUUUUCCCCGAAGCAUGUCGUAAAAUAUAAUUGAAAGCUUCGAAAAAUGCUUCGGGGGCGACAGUGCCAGUUUCUUCAGCCAAAAUUUGUUCUGCUACUUCUGUUUCUUUGGUUUCCAAGGAUUUCACAUUGGUGGGCUCUGAAGGACCAGCUUCAGUCUCAGCUUGGUGCUUUGUAGUUUCGGCACUAAAGGCUUCAAUUUGCACUUCGGGGGUUUCGACAAUUUUCUUCGUAGUAGUGCUUGAAGACUUUAUUGUCUCCAGCACAUCCAGAACGUUGACCAUUCUUUUUCUUUUGGGGUCACCGCUGGUCCUUUCUGAGUUUGUGGCGCUCCAACUUCUGCCGAAGGGCUUAAAAUAUCUGAUAUUUUUGUCCCUUCAGCUUUCAGCUCUUCAAUUCUUUCAGCCUUCGGUGUUGCAGUCAGCUCUUCAGUUUUCUGCGCAGGUAUAGGUUUUUUUGGCUUUAGUAGCCGAAGAAGCCUCGCCGACAAACUCGAGCACUAUAGCCGGUUCAAUAAAGCGCGGUCGGUGAGUAAGGACUUUUAUCCUUUUCCUCUUCGGCACAGGCUCGCUUGGAGCAGCUGAAGCAUCGUCUUUCCCGGAAGUUGCCUCUUUUCUCUUUCGCCCCCGUAAAGGGUAGCGGUAGUCAGGGUACACAAACCCAAUAGCAUCAAAAACUCGGUUUAAUCUUUUCUUCUUUCGGCCUCCGAAGGUCGCGGAUAACACAGUAUCUUCUGCCUUUGAGUAUGGCCCAAGCAAUUCAUCGCUUGUAGCUUUAAUACAUUUCAGCCAAUCAUCAUCUGGCUCGACAAAUUUACCCUCGUAUAUGAAGGUGAACUUCAUCCUAAUCAGUCCACCUUCGUCAGGCUUGGUGAUAGUUUCUUUUGGCAUUUCCCACUUUUCUACAAGUGGCCAAACUCUGAAAGCUAUGUGCUCUUGGACUAAAUCCCUCGUUCCGAUGAAAGAGCAGACUACGCCGAAGGCCCUCUGGCAUUCUUCGACUGCUUCGUCAACAAUCACCUUCGGCUUCCUAAGGCCGAAGCGCUGCCAGAUAGGACGCAUGAUAAUAUCUUUGAUGUCUUCUCGUGCCUUUAAAUCAUUUUUUACGUAAAACCAUUCCUUCAUCCAGUCCCCAGGCCAUCUUUUCUGGAAGGUUGGCACGGGACAGCUCGAGCCAGAGCGAGAGACGAAGAUAUAACAGCCAAAAUUGUUAUGAUAUUGCUCUUUGCCCCAGGGCUUUGUCUCAUAUAACAAUUCAUGCAUAUUGCAAAAGCUUUUUGUACUUGGCUCCAAGCCCUGGCUCCUCACGGCCCAGACGAAGAUUCUCAUUCUUAUGAUUGCUUCGGGCGUAAUUUGAUGAAGGAAGACUUGAUAGAUCUUUAAAACAUCAACCACAAAUUUGCUUAAUGGAAACCGAAGCCCAGCUUUAAAAAAGCUUCGGAAGAUCACAACUUCAUUCUCUUCGGGAGUAGGCACAGUCCUUUCUCCGUCAUCAGCCCUUACAGUAGACAUGUCCCGAAAAUAUCUUCCCCUCAUAUUAUCGAGAUGACUCUGUUUAAUAGUUGAUUUUCUAAAAACUGCAUGACUUGGUCGCCAGGGUCGAUCUUCGGAGUCUUCUCCGCCACUUUCCACAUCAUAACUGUCACUAUCACCAGUGUCUUCAGAUAAACCUUCUAAAAUCUCCCUGGUAAUCUUCUCUGUAUUUGUCUUUGCUAUCAAUUCAAUAAAGCCAAGAUUUUUCUCCUCAGAAAGGCUCGACUUCAUUUCAGCAAUAGCUUUUUUGUCUUGAGACAUCUUCGGAAAUGUUGAAAGCGUGCUCUUAAAAGCCGAAGCUAAAGAAAAUCUAAAAAGCCAGGCAAGCGUUGGUGUGCAAAGAACUAAAAAUUAGGAAGGCAAGAGCAGACGACAAUAAAGCGUGCUAAAUGUGCUCGCGGUGCGCUCUUAUUUAUACGCCCAAUACGUUGCAAGUGGCAGGGUCCCGCUUCUCAUUGACUAUUGUUAUUCUAGCAAAGGGAAGGUGUUUUUUCGGACCUUCGGCUUAAGGCCUUCGUCUAUAUCGUAAUCUGAAUUUAUCAUUCUAACAAAUUAAUAUUGCGAGGGGCUACUGUUGGGGGCCUUCGGCUUCCGAAGGUCCUCAAAAACAUGAUUUAACAAUGUUUCUGGAGAAUGAUACAUGAACAGGUACCUUCGGAAUUAGGUUAGAACCACAGUCUGAAGAAGCACAAAGAAUACGAAGGAUGGCGCAGAGCCGAAGCUGUUCGCAGGAGAGCUUCGGCGUGAUAGCAGAAAAGAAAACCGACUUAAAGGGGAAAAGGCUAUUUAGACCCCGAUGAAUUACUAUAGAGUUAUUAGCAAAUGUAAAGGGAUGAGUGUAAUUUUACAUGGGCUGCGUCCCGUGCCUAUAAAUAGAUGAACAGUGCUCACGUACUGUUCACGCUGACUUGACAUUUGCUUUUGCGUCACAUUUGUACUUUUGCUCUCUUUAAAGUCGAAGGUACACUUGUAAUUUAAUGUCAUUUCUAUUCUAUGUUAAUAAAAUAGAAAUGAGUUAAUAAUAAUAUAUAAAUGUUCAUGAUAUCUUUCGUACUUCAUGCAUUUAACAUUUUCACUAUCAUAUGCCGUAAUGAUGAAGGUAUGUCCUUCAUGACCUUCGUCUGAAAAUCAUUAUCUCUCAAGGGAAAUAAUGCUUCGAAGGACGAAUGACUUUAAUAUUUAACAUUUUCUGUGUUACCUUGUUCUUAACUGAUAGCAUUUGAGAACAAGUCCCCAACACUAUCAUUGAUUAGAUACAUUUAUAUUAGACAAAAUGUAUUCUCAAUGCAUAAUAAAAAGGACAUAAAUUUUUUGGUUCAGUGAAUGCAAUUCAAUUGUGCAUGACGUGUUUGUCUCUGACUGCAUGAAUCUAGAAUAAUUCCCAUAACAAAAAUGCUACAAAAAAUCACUUGAACGAGAAAAUUGUGCAUAUCUGAAAUAAAAAAUAGGAAACCCUAUCUUCGCAAUGAAUAGUGUGGAAACCCCAUCAAUUGCUCUAGGUAUAUAUAAACUACAUGAAUGAGUAUAUAUACUGUAAACCCUAACCAUAAACUAUUUUGGAAAAAAUCAAUACCAAGUGUACAAAAUUCACGUAAUUAAUUAGCUGAUAGACUUCAUUAAUCAUAAAACCAAACAUGCAUUGUUACUGUCGACACAAAACAAAAUAUAUGGGUGUUUUCUAGUUUGGGGAAAACUACAUAAUUGAAUGAUAGAUUUGGAUUUGUAUUUUAAUUUACCCAAAAAUACUUACCUGAUACUUAAUGACUAUAGUUUGGCCCAUGGUAUGUACACUACCGAUAAGUAUAUAUAUUGUAAACCUAACCAUAAAAAGUGGGGGAAUUGCAAAACCGAGUGAAAGCAAUUAAUUUGGUUGCUAUUUUUCGUUAAUCAUCAAACCAAACACACAUUGUUACUCCGCCACCCUAAUGAAACAAAAAAAGAGUAUUAAUCUCUAGGGCGGGAUGGGUUUUUCUAAAAAAACAACCGAAUCGAUGAAUAUGGGACUGAUUUGUGUUUCAGAUAGGUUGAAGUUAGGGUUUGGUGAUGGUGGCAAGCUUAGAAUAUAAUGGAGAAAAAAAUACCUUCAAUGCGCGCGGCUCAGUGGGCCUUAUUGCUCGGUGGGGGGUUGGGAUGAAAGGGUCGAUCAGCCUCAACCAGGGCUUCUCAGACGGCCUCCGAUGCUACAAUGCGCGUGGCUUGGAGGUUGAAGACGGUGGCGGAAGUCGAAUCGUCUGUCCGUCUCCUGGUCCAUCACCUGGUCGCAACCGCCUCCGACUGGGGUCGUGGCCUCGUGGGUUUGCAGCGAAUGGAAAGAAGGAAACCGCG
rnacentral:lncRNA from 1 species